rnacentral:rRNA from 1 species
UACAGAGGGUGCAAGCGUUGUUCGGGAUUAUUGGGCGUAAAGGGUGCGUAGGCGGUGCGGUAAGUCUCUUGUGAAAUCUCCAGGCUCAACCUGGAGCCUGCAAGGGAAACUGCCGUGCUUGAGUGUGGGAGAGGUGAGUGGAAUUCCCGGUGUAGCGGUGAAAUGCGUAGAGAUCGGGAGGAAGGCCGGUGGCGAAGGCGGCGCUCUGGAACAUUUCUGACGCUGAGGCUCGAAAGCGUGGGGAGCAAACAGG